rnacentral:rRNA from 1 species
CCUACGGGUGGCAGCAGUCGAGAAUCAUUCACAAUGGGGGAAACCCUGAUGGUGCGACGCCGCGUGGGGGAAUGAAGGUCUUCGGAUUGUAAACCCCUUUCAUGUAGGAGCAAAUUAAAAAGAUAGUACCACAAGAGGAAGAGACGGCUAACUCUGAGCCAGCAGCCGCGUUAAUACAGAGGUCUCAAGCGUUGUUCGGAAUCACUUGGCGUAAAGGGUGCGUAGGCGGUUUCGUAAGUCGGGUGUGAAAGGCGCGGGCUCAACCGGCGGACGGCACAUGAUACUGCGAGACGAGAGUAAAGGAGGGGGAACCGGAAUUCUCGGUGUAGCAGUGAAAUGCGUAGAUAUCGAGAGGAACACUCGUGGCGAAGGCGGGUUCCUGGACAUUAACUGACGCUGAGGCACGAAGGCCAGGGGAGCGAAAGGGAUUAGAUACCCCAGUAGUC